AUGGCCUUCCUCGAGGACCAGGUGGACGACGGCGCGCCGGUGCCUGUGCCGCUGCGGAUCUGGGUGUCGCUCCGCUCGAUCUGGAGCCUCCCCUCCCCAUCCCUUCCCUUCCUUUCGAGAGGAAGGAUGGUGAGGGUCGCCGGAGAGGGUCGAGCAGUGGCACUGGAGGGAGAGGAGGCCGCCGGAGUUGGUGUUGGGUGGUUGGGGGUCGCCCUAGAGACAUCAAGGAAAGGAGAGGAGGAGGAAGCGGCAGGAGAUGAGGCGGGGUCGCGGGGGAGGAGGAGGAGGCAGCGGCAGGAGAUGAGGCGGGGUCGUGGGGGAGGAGGAGGCGGCGGCACGAAGAAGAGGAGCCGGAUGAGAAGGGAGGAGGGAGAGAGAGGAGAUAUUUUCUCCAAUCCAGCUCGCGCUCGCUGCGGCCUUUUUAUUUUCUCUCGCAGUGCUUCUCGCUCGCGCGCACUAUUCAUACCGAAUAAAAGGAGACGUGGCCUAGUUGGGCGCACAUAUUUCCCUAAAAAAAAAAAGUUGGGCGCACAUAUUUCAAUGUUCAAUGUUCAAUUGACCGGGAAACUACCUUCUUCUUAG
rnacentral:rRNA from 1 species